UGAAUGUCUGUUUAAUGUUGUUUACUUCCUUACACUUCUCUUGGAAUGUGUACAGCACUGUGUAACCCUGUUUUGAAAAGUGCUAUAUAAAUAAAGUUUAUUAUUAUUAUUAU